AGAAAACAUGAUGGUAAAUGGAAGAAAAUGAAUAACAUUUAUUCAACAAUUCCUAGAAACUUGAGAAUAAACCAAGAUUUUUAAAAUGGAGAAUAACAUUUAUUCAACAAAAUCUUAGGAUAAGCUACAUAGAUCUUGUCUUGAACAAAACCAUUUGAAUGGAAAAAAAUCAUUAGAUAUCUCAGAGAAAUUUGGCAAUAAAGCAUACUUUCAGCGUUUUUACAACUAUGAGCAACAAUUUCAUUAUGUACAAAGCCACAUAUAUUUUUUUAAAUAGUUGAUUUAA
rnacentral:lncRNA from 1 species